CCUACGGGGGGCUGCAGUCGAGAAUAUUCCUCAAUGGCCGAAAGGCUGAAGGAGCGACGCCGCGUGUAUGAAGAAGCCCUUCGGGGUGUAAAAUACUUUUAAUCGGGACGAAAUACUGACGGUACCGGUUGAAUAAGGGGCUGCUAACCUCGUGCCAGCAGCAGCGGUAAUACGAGGGCCCCAAGCGUUAUCCGGAUUUAUUGGGCGUAAAGAGUGUGUAGGCGGUUUAUAACAUCUCCUGUUAAAUCUCAAGGCUCAACCUUGAGGCCGCGGGAGAUAUGGAUAAACUAGAGUUCGGAAGAGGCAAGUGGAAUUGCUGGUGUAGGGGUUAAAUCCGUUAAUAUCAGCAGGAACACCAAAAGCGAAGGCAGCUUGCUGGGACGACACUGACGCUGAGGCACGAAAGCGUGGGGAGCGAAUGGGAUUAGAUACCCCAGUAGUC
rnacentral:rRNA from 1 species